rnacentral:rRNA from 1 species
GCAUAUCAAUAAGCGGAGGAAAAGAAACCAACCGGGAUUGCCCCAGUAACGGCGAGUGAAGCGGCAACAGCUCAAAUUUGAAAUCUGGAGUCCUUGGUGGCUUCCGAGUUGUAAUUUGCAGAGGGAGCCUCGGAGGGCUGGUCGGUCCAAGUGCCUUGGAACAGGAUACCGCAGAGGGUGAGAGUCCCGUAUCCGGCCGACGCAGUGCUCCGUGUGAGGCCUCUUCGACGAGUCGAGUUGUUUGGGAAUGCAGCUCUAAGUGGGUGGUAAAUUCCAUCUAAAGCUAAAUACUGGCCAGAGACCGAUAGCGAACAAGUAGAGUGAUCGAAAGAUGAAAAGCACUUUGAAAAGAGAGUUAAACAGUACGUGAAAUUGUUGAAAGGGAAGCGCAUGGGGGCAGACUUGGGCGCGGGGUUCAGGGUCUCUUUUUUGGAGGCGUGUACUUCCCCGCGGACAGGCCAGCAUCGGUUCUGGGGGCCGGACAAAGGCGAUGGGAACGUGGCUCUCUUCGGGGAGUGUUAUAGCCCGACGUGCAAUGCGGCCACCUGGGACCGAGGACCGCGCUUCGGCAAGGAUGCUGGCGUAAUGGCCUCAUGCGGCCCGUCUUGAAACACGGACCAAGGAGUCUAACAUCUAUGCGAGUGUUUGGGUGGCAAGCCCGGACGCGCAAUGAAAGUGAACGGAGGUGGGAGCCCUUUCCGGCGCGGAGGGGGUGCAGCAUCGACCGAUCCGGACGUUUUCUGAAGGAUUUGAGUAAGAGCAUAGCUGUUGGGACCCGAAAGAUGGUGAACUAUGCGUGAAUAGGGUGAAGCCAGAGGAAACUCUGGUGGAGGCUCGCAGCGGUUCUGACGUGCAAAUCGAUCGUCAAAUUUGCGUAUAGGGGCGAAAGACUAAUCGAACCAUCUAGUAGCUGGUUCCUGCGA